AUUGAACGCUGGCGGCAGGCUUAACACAUGCAAGUCGAGCGGGGGAAGGUAGCUUGCUACCGGACCUAGCGGCGGACGGGUGAGUAAUGCUUAGGAAUCUGCCUAUUAGUGGGGGACAACAUCUCGAAAGGGAUGCUAAUACCGCAUACGUCCUACGGGAGAAAGCAGGGGAUCUUCGGACCUUGCGCUAAUAGAUGAGCCUAAGUCGGAUUAGGUAGUUGGUGGGGUAAAGGCCUACCAAGGCGACGAUCCGUAGCCGGUCUGAGAGGGUGAUACGCCACAAUGGGACUGGAACACGGCCCAAGCUUCUGAGGGAGGGAGCAGUGGGGAAUAAUGGACAAUGGGGGGAACCCUGAUCCAGCCAUGCCGCGUGUGUGAAGAAGGCCUUAUGGUUGUAAAGCACUUUAAGCGAGGAGGAAGCUACUUUAGUUAAUACCUAGAGAUAGUGGACGUUACUCGCAGAAUAAGCACCGGCUAACUCUGUGCCAGCCGCCGCCGUAA
rnacentral:rRNA from 1 species